rnacentral:rRNA from 1 species
AAUCAACGCUGGCGGCGUGCCUAACACAUGCAAGUCGAACGAGAAGGUGACUUCGGUCACUGGAUAGUGGCGUCCGGGUGAGUAACACGUAGGUAAUCUACCUUCGGGUGGGGAAUAACGUCUCGAAGAGACGCUAAUACCGCAUAAUGCAGCGGCACCUAAUGGUGAUUAGUUGUUAAAGCGGGGGAGUCUUCGGACCUCGCGCCUGAAGAGGAGCCUGCGGCAGAUUAGCUAGUUGGUGAGGUAAUGGCUCACCAAGGCUUCGAUCUGUAGCUGGUCUGAGAGGACGGCCAGCCACACUGGCACUGACACACGGGCCAGACUCCUACGGGAGGCAGCAGUAAGGAAUAUUGCGCAAUGGG